rnacentral:rRNA from 1 species
UGGGGAAUAUUGGACAAUGGGCGAAAGCCUGAUCCAGCCAUGCCGCGUGAGUGAUGAAGGCCCUAGGGUUGUAAAGCUCUUUCGCCAGGGACGAUAAUGACGGUACCUGGAGAAGAAGCCCCGGCUAACUUCGUGCCAGCAGCCGCGGUAAUACGAAGGGUGCUAGCGUUGUUCGGAUUAACUGGGCGUAAAGCGCACGUAGGCGGAUCUUUAAGUCAGGGGUGAAAUCCCGAGGCUCAACCUCGGAACUGCCUUUGAUACUGGAGAUCUCGAGUUCGGGAGAGGUGAGUGGAACUGCGAGUGUAGAGGUGAAAUUCGUAGAUAUUCGCAAGAACACCAGUGGCGAAGGCGGCUCACUGGCCCGAUACUGACGCUGAGGUGCGAAAGCGUGGGGAGCAAACA